rnacentral:rRNA from 1 species
CUUGGUCAUUUAGAGGAAGUAAAAGUCGUAACAAGGUCUCCGUUGGUGAACCAGCGGAGGGAUCAUUACAGAGUUAUCUAACUCCCAAACCCAUGUGAACUUACUAUUUGUUGCCUCGGCAGAGCCUACCCUGUAGCCCUCCCUACCCGGGAACCGGUUACCCUGUAGCGUUUCUGUCGGCGGACCACUAAACUCUGUUAUACUAUUGUAAUCUGAGCGUCUUAUUUUAAUAAGUCAAAACUUUCAACAACGGAUCUCUUGGUUCUGGCAUCGAUGAAGAACGCAGCGAAAUGCGAUACGUAAUGUGAAUUGCAGAAUUCAGUGAAUCAUCGAAUCUUUGAACGCACAUUGCGCCCAUUAGUAUUCUAGUGGGCAUGCCUGUUCGAGCGUCAUUUCAACCCUUAAGCCUAGCUUAGUGUUGGGAAUCUAUUCGCAAGAAUAGUUCCCUAAAUCCAACGGCGGAUCUGUGGUAUCCUCUGAGCGUAGUAAAUUCUUAUCUCGCUUUUGUCAGGUGCCGCAGCUCUCAGCCGCUAAACCCCCCAAUUUUUUUCUGGUUGACCUCGGAUCAGGUAGGAAUACCCGCUGAACUUAAGCAUAUCAAUAAGCGGAGGAAAAGAAACCAACAGGGAUUGCCCUAGUAACGGCGAGUGAAGCGGCAACAGCUCAAAUUUGAAAUCUGGCCCUUGGGUCCGAAUUGUAAUUUGUAGAGGAUGAUUUUGGUGCGGUACCUUCCGAGUUCCUUGGAACAGGACGCCUUAGAGGGUGAGAGCCCCGUACGGUUGGAUGCCUAGCCUCUGUAAAUCUCCUUCGACGAGUCGAGUAGUUUGGGAAUGCUGCUCUAAAUGGGAGGUAAAUUUCUUCUAAAGCUAAAUACUGGCCAGAGACCGAUAGCGCACAAGUAGAGUGAUCGAAAGAUGAAAAGCACUUUGAAAAGAGGGUUAAAUAGCACGUGAAAUUGUUGAAAGGGAAGGAUUUAUGACCAGACUUUUUCUGGGCGGAUCAUCCGGUGUUCUCACCGGUGCACUUUGCCCAGUUUAGGCCAGCAUCGAUUUUCGGAGGGGGAUAAAAGCUUUGGGAAUGUGGCUCCUCCGGGAGUGUUAUAGCCCAUUGUAUAAUACCUUUCUGGGGAUCGAGGUACGCGCUUCUGCAAGGAUGCUGGCGUAAUGGUUAUCAAUCACCCGUCUUGAAACACGGACC